rnacentral:lncRNA from 1 species
GUGUGUGUGGCUUUUGUGAGGCAGGAGAGAGCGCGGAAUGGCAGGAAUGCUUCCUAACCCCGUGGCCCGACCGUCGCGGGAGAGACUGCCUGCAAACUCUGCGAACACGAUUCCUGCAAAGUCAUCUCCUCCCGCACAGCCGGGCGGGCCGGCCCGCCCCGCCCGCGGACAGCAGCACCCGCCUCCCUGCUCUCCCCUCGCUCCCGCCCCAGCCCUGCUCGCGGCGCGCAGAGUUGGGGUGCGGUGCGGGCUAUGUUUAGAAGCUUAUGUCAUCCCGACACCCUACUCUGCAGUGCUCCCAGGGGAGCCCGCAGGGCAGGUUUUCCUCUUCUUCGCGGGCGUGGGGGAUGGGGAAGGUGCCUCUACCCGCCCCACCCCCGCCAACACACACACAUACGCACCU